rnacentral:rRNA from 1 species
UACGUAGGGGGGCUAGCGUUGCUCGGAAUCACUGGGCGUAAAGGGCGCGUAGGCGGCCAUUCAAGUCGGGGGUGAAAGCCCAGGGCUCAACCCUGGAAUUGCCUUCGAUACUGUUUGGCUAGAGACCGGAAGAGGUGAGUGGAACUGCGAGUGUAGAGGUGAAAUUCGUAGAUAUUCGCAAGAACACCAGUGGCGAAGGCGGCUCACUGGCCCGGUACUGACGCUGAGGUGCGAAAGCGUGGGGGAGCAAACAGG